AGAGGGUGCAAACGUUGUUCGGAAUUACUGGGCGUAAAGCGCGUGUAGGCGGCCCUGCAAGUCGGGUGUGAAAUCCCAUGGCUCAACUAUGGAAGUGCACUCGAAACUGCAGGGCUAGAGUCCUGGAGAGGAAGGUGGAAUGCUUGGUGUAGAGGUGAAAUUCGUAGAUAUCAAGCGGAACACCGGUGGCGAAGGCGGCCUUCUGGACAGUGACUGACGCUGAGACGCGAAAGCGUGGGGAGCAAACAGGAUUAGAUACCCUGGUAGUCCACGCCGUAAACGAUGAGUGCUAGGUGUCACGGGCUUUGACCCUCGUGGUGCCGAAGCUAACGCGUUAAGCACUCCGCCUGGGGAGUACGGCCGCAAGGCUAAA
rnacentral:rRNA from 1 species